AAAGUGUGCGUCGGACUAUAGCGGUAGUACCCAGGAUCACUGCUUUUUGCAUAUUGUGCAAAUAAUUCAAAAUUACUAAAUUUUGAAACUGUUCACCGUCAUUCGGAAAUCAUCUCGGUGCACAAAACUAACGAAGGCCACACAGCGCGACAUAUCCGGAGACACGUGGGAGAAAAGGCCAAAACCCAAUUACGGAAAAUCAAAUUUAACAAUGGUAAGAUAUAUAACACAUAAAGUACUAAAAACUAACAAAAAAAAAACUAAACACUGUAUUAAAUGAUUUGACCGAGCCAGAGUUGAAAUUAAAUGACAAAAUGUAAUACAAAGUAAAAUAA